rnacentral:rRNA from 1 species
GAUGAACGCUAGCUACAGGCUUAACACAUGCAAGUCGAGGGGCAGCGCAGUGUAGCAAUACAUGGGCGGCGACCGGCGCACGGGUGCGUAACGCGUAUCCAACCUUCCCGUUACUCAGGGAUAGCCUUCCGAAAGGGAGAUUAAUACCUGAUGGUGUUCAAAUUCCGCAUGUUAUUUGAACUAAAGAUUCAUCGGUAACGGAUGGGGAUGCGUGACAUUAGAUAGUAGGCGGGGUAACGGCCCACCUAGUCUACGAUGUCUAGGGGUUCUGAGAGGAAGGUCCCCCACACUGGAACUGAGACACGGUCCAGACUCCUACGGGAGGCAGCAGUGAGGAAUAUUGGUCAAUGGUCGGAAGACUGAACCAGCCAAGUAGCGUGAAGGAUGAAGGUUCUAUGGAUUGUAAACUUCUUUUAUACGGGAAUAAAACCUCCCACGUGUGGGAGCUUGUAUGUACCGUAUGAAUAAGCAUCGGCUAACUCCGUGCCAGCCGCCGCGGUAAAAC